GAUAUAACGCGCAGCAAAUUAUGUCGCACAUCCCCCCUCCCCCCACACAUUUAUAUAUUAGGCCUACAGUUGUUUUUAACUUACCUGAAUCUUCUCCGCACUCCGCGGCCACCAGCCGAACACCCCGGCAUCUCCUCUCAGCCCGUCACCUCCACAAACCCCGGUUUUUAGCGUAGCAAUGUCUUUGUCCGGAACACUAGGUGCAGCAGUAAUGUCCCUUCCAGCCUGUACUCCUGUGUGCUGUAACCCCCCCCCCAAUGGGAUCCAUUACCUCCUGGAUGUCGGUGUUCAGCUGAAAGAUCUGCCCCUCCCCCUCCACCUGGCGGACGCAAAUCUUGCAGUUGACUGGAUGGAAGGCUGCUGUGAGGGCGGAGGAUGAGUCUGUGAUGUCACCACGGAGAUGCCGGCAGCUGCGGCGGUAUGCCAGCACACCCACACACAGCAGCAAC